UAACCCACGAUUGUUGCACUGGGAAGAGGGACCCCACUCCUCUGCCAAGCUGCCUGGCUACUGUUAUAUUUGCGUGGUUCUACAGAGUGAUGUUUUGAAGGCAAUAGCAUACAGCUGUAAUGUCCCAAAGAGCUCAUCGUUCAGAUGGCUCUGCCACCUCCGGAUCCACAGUUUGUUCUCAGAGGUACCAGUGCUGCAGUCCAUACUCUGCAUUUCUCCUGUGGAGGCCAGGAGCCCGAUGUCCCCAUUCUUUUCUCUGGGUCUGAGAAUGGGUUUAUCCAUGUCUGGAACCUGAAAACACACAGAGUGGACACAGCAUUGGAUGGCCAUGGAAGAAAAUCUGUCUACUGCGUGGAGACAAUGGGUGAUAAAACCAGGCUCCUCAGGUUAGCAGAGUAAAGCAGGCAAAACCUGGUGAAACUGUUCUUGUCUCUGUGGUGUAUGUGAUUGAAGAGGAAAAAAAAAAAAGAGGGGAAAAAAGGAGUCUCUUAUUUCUGGAGUCAGUGGAAGUCUCUCCAGUGCUUAAGGAAAUGUACAGAAGUACAAAAAUACAGAGAAAACUGUAGAAGAAAAAGUGAAAAAAAUGAUACGAUGAAUUUAUUUAUGAUGUAUAUGUGAUGACAUCAUGACAAUUGGGGUCCAUAGUGGCUUUAUUACUGCACUGAGACCAGGUGAGAUCUGUGGGUAAAGGAAAUACAAUUGGAUUUGAAGUUGACAGGUGCUUCACAACUGGUUCUCAGGGAAGAUCAAAAUUUGUAUACAGAGGUUAUAAAUAGAGGGGAGAGGGAGAAAAGGUAAGGAAGAGAAGAAUCAGAGAUGGAGAAUGGAAGACUGAAAAUGAGCAAGAAUGCUGAGUUGUACACAUUUGCUUUGUUGCAAAAUAUCUUCUGUUCCUGUUUAGCAAGGGAAAGGGAAGAUUUGUGUACUUUGGAUUAGACAGGUGAUCUAGAGUAGAUGCCAAAGUGUCUGUAUGACUAGGAGGUGUUCUGACAUGUUUAUCUGGAGACGACAUCUCUUAUAAUAUACAGUGGAACUCAUUAGCAUUUAUAUUUGUUAUCUGCUUAAGUACAAUUAUCAACACUCUCCCCCAUAAAAUCAUACUGAAUGAGCAUUGUUUGUAUAAUUAUAGAGUUUUUCCAUGCCUCUAUUUUUGCUGUAUUUAUAACAGUUCACAUAGCAGUGCAAUUUUAGGACAGCAGUUACCUGUACUUUUUCUGUUCUAAGCUAAAUCACAACAAUUCCUUGCAGUACCCCAUUAUUUGUAUGCCCAGUGCUUUAAAUAUUUGGACAGUCUGUCACUCAGCUGAACAGCAGGUGGGAGUUCCUGUAUUGGUGUUGAAGAAGUCCCAACAGUCUGUAGAUUUGCAUCUACCUCUGUUUUGGUUUCAUACUUCCACAAGGUGAUACUGCUAAUUAAAACAAGAAAUGGAUAAGGGAUUUUUCAUGACUCCUUCUCCCAGGCGAUAACAUAAGGACAUGUAUCCUGUGCUACUGUAGGUCGUGGGUUGGACGCUUUGUUCCAGGGCCAGUGGGAUCAUGUAAAUCUGUAGCAAUUAAUGCUGUGCGCUUUAUCUGGUUUUACUGUCUGGGAGCAACACGCAGACUUUUCGGUGGGACGGAGAGGUAUGCAGAGGAGUCUGUGAACUGCUGUGGUGCGUCAGUGAUGCAGAUGCUGGUUCUCUGGUUUUGGAUAUUUUAACCAUGGUGUUUCAUUGUUUAAUUCCUGCUACUCACUGCACCACCAGUCCCUCUCCUGUUGUGCCUACACACACACAGUUGUAAGUCUUCUGUGCCCUCCCUGUGGCUGUGGGAAGUUGACCAUUGUGUAACUGUAGCUUUUUAUUUAGCUUUGAUGCAGUCUUUGUUGUCUUGCUAUUUGUCUUUCAGCUGUCAACAUACCUGACAUUUCUACUUCAUUGAUAGGGUGAAAGUGUUGAAUGUGUUACUCUCCGGAUACUUUUGUUUCCUGUUAGAUUAGCUCUAAUAAAUGGUGAAAUGUAAGUAUUUUUAUGAUGAAUAUGCUCAAAUAUUCAUGAGACUUCAGAAAUACGUAUACACAUAUAAAUAGCAUAACUGUGUUUGAUCAGAUCCCUCUUCACAAGGAAACAUGGCUAUCUGUGACUGCAGGGUACCUGACUGCCCCUCGGGACCUUCCUCCUCCCAGGAACUUUUGAACCUACUGGCCAGUUGUGCAGUCAGCAGAAGGGUGGUUGUCUCAGAGAUUCCCAGUUCCCACACGUUUCAUGAAAGACCCUGUCAAUACCCCACAGGAGCUGUACAAAUCUCACUCCUUUGCUGCGUGUUAAAGACCCUACGUUGAGAUACUAACCUGCAGGAGCCAGGCUUUCUCAGACCUGCUGCUCAUGAAUAACUUGUUUUACUGUAACAGUCAGGGUCGUGACCAGAGGAUCUGCUUGUGGGAUUUGGCAGAGGGACGGACUGCAGUGACGGAUUCUGUCUUUACGGAGAAUGUGGGAUUCUGCAGAUGCUCUCUGUUAACAGUGGCACAGGGACGCUGGCUAAUGGCCAUGGCAGCCAAAGCCCUGGAGGAGGUAGGAAGUGUCUUUUUUUCUGGUGCUUGGGAGAUUGCUUUUGUUUUUGAAAGGAGAUAGUUCAGAAGGGGAAACAUCACUACUCUCAAAUUCGCUGCUCAAGAGAGGGCAGCGUGAGGAGCCUUUGCAGGUCCUAAUCACUAAUUUUACCUGCCAGGAAGAUGACUGAAUUCUAUAACUCAAGUUCUGAUAACAAGUAUACCACCCCAAGAUUGUCUAACAUAUAAGUAUUUGCAGCUGCUGCUGAUCUUUCAUGUGCAGGAGUUUUUAAAACUCUUCUGGUGCUGCUCAAUACUGUUGAAGGGGAACAAGAGUCCUUUCGGGAAACUAAUGGUCAGAGAGUCUGUCAUCAGGUGGAGGUACUCAUCCUCCAUCUGAAGCUGAAAGUCAUGUUUGGUGAGAGGGGAGGUGCAGGUGAUUUGUAAUGCAAUACGUGGUCUUCCACCCCAGGCUAAUUCUUUAACUGGUACUUUGGCUGGAAAUAGUUGAAUCACUAUUAGCAGCCAGAGGUUUGCUCAGUGUGAGAUAAUUGUAGGGUCCAUUUCAGUUCCUACUGGGUAAGUCCACAUCCAAUACACAUAAUCACUGACUGACAGCUUUGUUGGCAAUUUCCUCUUCUGCUUUGGAGAAAUUGUAUUUUUGUUUUCUUUGAAGGACUAUUUGAGGACAUCAGACAAAAAGUAAGUAUUUCAAAUACUUGACAUCAAAAUACCAAAAAUAUGAAAAAAUAAAAAAGUGGCAUAAAUAUAAAAAGAAAUAUUGUUGCUAAUUGCAAGGUCAGCUGCUUUUCUGGACUAUGGGAUAUGUAUCUUGAAACUGAAAGUUGCAUAUUUUAUAGACGAAGUAAUAAGUGGGAAUGGUGCCUGUAUUGCAAGAAAAUGUGAACUUUUUAUUAUUCAGAAGUUAAGCACAUAUUUAAGUACUUCUCUGGCUAACAGCCAGUAUGUUCAGCCUUUUACAGAACUGAGUAAGCCUGUAGACACAACCACAGUACCAGUAAAUACAACCAUUCUCAUACCUUGUUCUGAUCAAACAAAGGCCUCUCUCCAUUUUACAGCAGUGCUCAGUAAUACUUAAGUUAAAAAAAACCUGACAAGUGCGUUCUUGCGUCAGGUAGAGAAGAGUUUUUGUGAAAGGCAAAGGGUACAAACACACAUACACAUUCUGGUAAUGAACAACUGAAUAACCACCUGAUCCAAAGAGAAGGUGUUUACCCCAAAGUCUCUUACAACUCAUCUCUGUUUUAUUUUCAUUUCUGUCCUUGGGCCCUGCAAACUGAUAAUGAUUUGCUGUCUCCUGAGGUAAGAGUUCCACUCUGUGUAUGAACCUUUACAUUAGAACUGUGUCAGGUUUCAAUAAAUUCACAUAAGCUCCUAUAAUAUAUAGUGCUUCCAAAUAGGCAGCACUGUGUGAGACACAGUACAUUUGCAGCUUAUGAUUAAAAUUAAGACUUAAUAAGUGUUUAUGCUUGGCUGGUGCCCAAAAAAAGAGUAAUUUUGUCUUAAAGCAGGUUCAGUCCAUAAAUAAUGAGAUCUGAACAGGCAUUUAUUUGUUCAUGAUUGCAUUUAAAUCACCAAUUAUGAGUUACAUGCACUUUUCUUGCCAAUUUGCCAGAAACAUGUUAAAAGCUUUAUUAAUGUGAAAAAGGGUGUGUUUCCUUGUGGCCAGUUUUAGCCACCCAGGAACACUAUUAACCUCAGGCAAAGGCAAAUCUUUCUCCUAUUAAGCACAACCAAUAUAAACACAGAACUUCAAGUUUUAGGUUACAGUUGUCAAAAUAUAUGAAAUAGUAUUUAUUUCUAAGGCUCAGUUGCCUCUAAUGCAGUCUCUGGAACUGUCAAUCUAACACAGGCAGCUCAUGCCUGCUGGCCUUCUGCAGAAAGCUUUUCUCAUCUUUGUGCUUUUCUUUGUCCUUUGCAAGCCCAGCUGAAGCCCUUGUACCAGUUUGUCCAUUUUUAAUCAAGGUAAAGAGAAGGACAUGGGAUUUUUUUCUUUUAACCCACAGAAUUGUGUUUAUCACAGCACACUUAUCCUUCCUUAUUAUGUAAAAGUUACAGUUUCAGUGUUGUCUUCGAGGCAAUGCCCUCUGGAGAGCCAGUGAUGAAAGAUGCAAGAUGAGAGCAGGUCACCAUAUUUAUAGCCCAUUUCCUGCAAUAGCUAACUUGGUCAUCAUGUUGAUAGCAAGAAAGUUGCCAAGAGAAAAGCAUCUUUUAUUAAGAGUGUAGCUCCAAAGAACCAGAAUUCUCAGAUGAUUAAACUUUGGUCUGUUCAUAUGUUUGGUCUACAUCUUUGCUGUAGCCUCCAUUCUCAAAUCUGGAGGAUAGUUUCCUGCCCCAUUGCUAAGCGGCUUUAGGAAGUGUAUAUUGUGUUUGUCAACUUGCACUCCUAGAGUGCAGCUGGCUUUUGGCAGGCUAGCUGACAACCCCUAGAAAUAGGAAGAUAUUCUGGCAAGCUUUGAACUAAAGGUAUGGGAUUGGAAAGCCAUCACAGCUGCCGUGGUCCUGACUGAUGGCUCCCAGAGGAGCCGUAUUUGUCUAAUACCUCAUCUCAGAUGCUUAAGGAAAUUCGCGUGACUGGGGCUGUCCAACAGCACUGUUGGGCUUUUGCACAUUCUGAAAUAGCCCAGAAUGGCUGGUGGUGCUGGAUUUAUCAAAUGUUCUAAGUCCUUUAAUUUUACGAGAUAAUGCAGACCAUUGUUUAUUUAACUAAAAUAAAAGAUCACCUUAGUGAUUAAGUAUGCAUGUGAGAAACGGCAAUGCUCCUGGCAGCAAGCUUUUGAUACCUAAGAACUUCUAUUUCUCCAUAGUUCCAGGCUGGAGGAUCAGCCCAGAGUGAGACACUGCCGUGUCAAUCAAGAGACUCAAAACCUUCCCGUGCCAAAUUGCAAAGGCAGACUCCCCUGAUCUUGCCUGCCAUCAUCCUGGGGUGGAAAUGAGCUACUUCCUUGGCAGAGGAAAGACUUGCCCAAUGCUAAAAAAAGAAAAAAGAUGAUCCAUAAUUCAUUACCAUCAGUGCAAGUAACAGUGGAAGCUGCUGCGUAGACAGAGAGCAAGUGCUUAACACAACAUUGUCUGACUCUCUUCAAAGCAGGGUCAGACAGAUAUGUAUGUGCCAUCCCUGCUCCAGCCUGCAUUAGCAGGUUCAGGUUUUGGAGCUGCCAUCCAAGACGUCAGUCUGUACCUUGAAGCCAGAGGCGGGUGCCAAGCUGGGCAUGCCCAUGUGUCUGAAGUUAUGGCAGCUCAGCAGUGGUUCACAACCCUUGCUUCUGGCUGGCUAUGAAGACGGAUCAGUGGUCCUUUGGAAUUUGUCAAUGGGAAAACCAUUGAGCCAACUUGCUUGCCACCAGGAGCCAGUGAUGAGCCUUGACUUUGACUCGGAGAAGACCAAGGGGAUCUCGGGCUCAUCUGAAAAGGUGCUUAGCAUCUGGAGCCUCAAUGAGCAACAGAACCUCCAGGUUUACAAAACACACAACCUUGUCAAUGCUGGCAUAUCUGAUAUCACCAUCCGUCCAGACAAGAAGAUUGUAGCAACAGCAGGGUGGGAUCAUCGCAUCAGGAUCUUUGGCUGGAAAAAACUGAAGCCCUUAGCAGUGCUGGACUAUCACACAGCAACGGUGCAUUGUGUGUCCUUCUCCAACCACAAAAACCCCAGGGAGAGACUACUGGCAGCUGGCUCAAAAGAUCACCGCAUCAGUAUCUGGUCAAUAUAUACUCAGACGUGACAUGUUCUGCACUGUCAGGGACUAAGAAAACAAGAUUGGUGAAGCAAUUCUUUACACUGUCAUUCAAACCUGGAUGGGGAGAAGUAGUAGAAUGUAUUUCCAGGCUGAAGCGAGUGUCCUGGGUUAAUUCUUAUGCUGCUUGUUCAAGCUGCAAGUUUAGUUUUCCAGAGGGAGAAUGGAUUUUUAAAAUCUAUAACAUGCGUAGCAAGGCCAGUCACAAAUGAAGACACAGAACAAGUCACUUUGAGUUCUGCUACAGGCUUUAAAACAGCUUUUCUUUGGCAGGUUGCUGAAAUAACUUGUGCCAAUAUCUCCUUUUGUGAAAAAGGACUGAAAUCCCUCAGACUGCCGUGCGGGCACAAUAUAGAGCACAGGAUCACAGAAGGGUUGGGGUCGGAAGGGACCUUCAAAUAUCAUCUAGUCCAUACCCCCUGCCAUGGGCAGGGAAGUCUGUUUGUAAGUCAUUUAUGUAUUCAAAACUCUGAAUCAGUGUAAAACAUCACUCGUUCUUGAAAAUUUAUACCCAUUAAACCACCUCCAGUGGUUUCUCAUUGUCA